rnacentral:lncRNA from 1 species
CAAAGCAGAUGUUUUAAUGAAUUAUUUGGAGAGGACCUUUUCAUUUAAGCAUUAACGUUAUCUUCUGUAUUGGUGUGUCUGAGCUUGUCCUUGCGAAUCUGUGAUCGUCACGUAUGUUCCGUGAGCUGGAAACAGAAGAAAAGAAAUAACGCCCUUGCAUACCCAUAGCCAAUAACUGGAAGAAAAUGAUGUGAAUUUCAUGUAAAUUGCCAGAGGAAAUACGGAUAAGAUGUUCUUUUCUCAAAUAGACCUUUUUCUUUUCUGUGUUCGCUGCCUGGUGGAGCUGUAGUUUGGUCCUCGGGAUGGCGGGAUGUGGCUGACGAAGGUUUCCAGCGUGGUGCCAGCCGAGACCAGGAGAGACGCUAGCUUCAGCCCUGUACUCACGUGUUUUCAGCGUCAGACCUGACACUUACUGUUCCAGUUUCAAGACCUCCGUUCUUAACUUCCAGAGAAGAGUUAACGCUGGCGACUUUAACCUAUGGAGAACGUGCGCAGAUGUCACAUAUCUGAUCCCCCCCCCCUUUGGGUAUAUGUAUUAUUAAUAUUAUUAUUAUUAUUAUUAUUAGUUCAUCAGUUUGCUGGUCUCUGCAGUCAGCAGAAACAAAUGGGCAAUAUUUGUCCCGGGAGACCUGGGCUGCCCCCGGGUCCCCGCGUGGGCCUGUGCCCGCGGCUUUCCUCGGCACCCCCGGGUGGCAGCUCUUCUACUGUACUUAGACAAGCCUUUCUUCCGUGACUGCAGAAUCCAGCGGGGGGGGCCGGGAGCGGUCCUCCCUGGCGGGCGGCCGAGAGCAGCCCCGAGAGGGCAGAGAGCAGCCUGGCGGCCCGGAGGCCCGGCCCGAGCCUUACCCGCCUGUGCUACUGUCACGUGCAAAGCGAGGAAGUACUACUACUGGUUAUAAAACGCACACGGGAGAUGAAAGAUGAGACGCAGAUUUGUAUUUACCUUCCUGUGAUGUGGGGUUGGUGCUUGACGAUAAACAUGCUGUUUCUAACGUUCCUGAAAUUGCCUGAACCCCACCACCACCACCCCGGGUGCAAAAAAAAAAAAAAAAAAAAAAAA